CCUACGGGAGGCAGCAGUGGGGAAUAUUGCGCAAUGGGGGAAACCCUGACGCAGCAACGCCGCGUGCGGGAUGAAGGCUUUCGGGUUGUAAACCGCUUUCAGCAGGGAAGAUAUAAGACGGUACCUGCAGAAGAAGCCCCGGCUAACUACGUGCCAGCAGCCGCGGUAAUACGUAGGGGGCGAGCGUUAUCCGGAUUCAUUGGGCGUAAAGCGCGCGCAGGCGGGCUCGUAAGCGGGACCUCUAAUCUCGGGGCUCAACCCCGAGCCGGGUUCCGAACUGCGAACCUCGAGUGCGGUAGGGGAGGUCGGAAUUCCCGGUGUAGCGGUGGAAUGCGCAGAUAUCGGGAAGAACACCGACGGCGAAGGCAGACCUCUGGGCCGUCACUGACGCUGAGGCGCG
rnacentral:rRNA from 1 species